CCUACGGUAGACAGCAGUAGGGAAUAUUGCUCAAUGGGGGAAACCCUGAAGCAGCAACGCCGCGUGGAGGAUGAAGGUUUUCGGAUUGUAAACUCCUUUUGUUAGAGAAGAAAAUGACGGUAGCUAACGAAUAAGCACCGGCUAACUCCGUGCCAGCAGCCGCGGUAAUACGGAGGGGGCAAGCGUUACUCGGAAUCACUGGGCGUAAAGAGCGCGUAGGCGGGAUAGCAAGUCAGAUGUGAAAUCCUAUGGCUUAACCAUAGAACUGCCUUUGAAACUGUUAUUCUAGAGUUUGGGAGAGGUAGGUGGAAUUCUUGGUGUAGCGGUCAAAUCCGUAGAUAUCACGAGGAAUACUCAUUGCGAAGGCGACCUGCUAGAACAUACCUGACGCUGAUGCGCGAAAGCGUGGGUAGCAAACAGGAUUAGAUACCCUAGUAGUC
rnacentral:rRNA from 1 species